rnacentral:rRNA from 1 species
UGAGACACGGUCCAGACUCCUACGGGAGGCAGCAGUAGGGAAUAUUCCGCAAUGGGCGAAAGCCUGACGGAGCAAUACCUCGUGAGUGAUGAAGGCUUUAGGGUCGUAAAGCUCAGUCAGCAGGGAAGAAGGGUUAUGGUUCGAAUAGGGCUAUAGCUUUGACGGUACCUGCAGAGGAAGCCACGGCUAAUUACGUGCCAGCAGCCGCGGUAAUACGUAAGUGGCAAGCGUUGUCCGGAUUUACUGGGCGUAAAGAACGCGUAGGCGGUUUUCUAAGUUGGGGGUGAAAUCCUGAGGCCCAACCUCAGGCCUGCCUCCAAAACUGGAGAACUAGAGUUUCGGAGAGGAAGAUGGUAUUCCAUGUGUAGCGGUGAAAUGCGUAGAUAUAUGGGAGAACACCAAUGGCGAAAGCAGUCUUCUGGACGAAUACUGACGCUGAGGCGUGAAAGCGUGGGUAGCGAACAGGAUUAGAUACCCUGGUAGUCCACGCCGUAAACGAUGGGUACUAGUUGCUGGGGAUAAUAGUCUUCGGUGACGAAGUUAACGCAUUAAGUACCCCGCCUGGGGAGUACGGUCGCAAGAUUAAAACUCAAAGGAAUUGACGGGGGCCCGCACAAGCGGUGGAGUAUGUGGUUUAAUUCGAUGCAACGCGGAGAACCUUACCUGGGCUUGACAUCCAACGCUAUCCAUAGAGAUAUGGAGUUUGAUAGUAAUAUCGACGUUGAGACAGGUGGUGCAUGGUUGUCGUCAGCUCGUGUCGUGAGAUGUUCGGUUAAGUCCGGCAACGAGCGCAACCCUUGCCUCUAGUGUGCCAGCACGUAAUGGUGGGAACUUUAGAGGGACUGUCUGUGUUUACAGGAGGAAGGUGGGGAUGACGUCAAAUCAGCAUGCCCCUUAUGUCCAGGGCUACACACGUACUACAAUGGCUGGUACAACGAGGAGCGAAGCCGCGAGGUCAAGCAAAUCUCUAAAAGCCAGUCUAAGUUCGGAUUGGAGUCUGCAACUCGACUCCAUGAAGCUGGAAUCGCUAGUAAUCGUGGAUCAGAAUGCCACGGUGAAUACGUUCCCGGGCCUUGUACACACCGCCCGUCACACCACCCGAGUGACUUGCACCCGAAGUGGCUGACCCAACCUGCUUGCAGGAGGGAGGUUCCUAAGGUGUGAUUCGUAAGGGGGGUGAAGUCGUAACAAGGUAUCCCUACGGGAACGUGGGGAUG